CCAGCUCUGCUGUUGGAGCCUGGCCCCUUUCCCCCUCAGCUGGAGGACAUGAAAACACACGCACACACACACACACAGACACAGGCAUCACUCCCCUUCAUGAGGACAACAACAAAUCUAGUAACUAAUACUGGAUUUUGAGGCGUGAGAGGACAUGUUUCUCGCCAAAAUGACAAGUCUUUGAGGAAGUUGAGAUCAAGGUUACAAAAGGUGAAGUUUGGAAGAUGAGUGUGAAGAUGAAGAAGAGUGGGGUGGUGAUCAGAUGGCACAAGUCAUUCUCCUUCUUGGCUCCAUGGAAGAAAGGGAAAGAUGGAGACACGGUACUGGACAGUGCAGUCGUGCUUACAAAAAUGAAACUAUUCAGCAACAUUAGCGAUAAACUUUUAAUGGCAGACGACUCUUCCAACAUCUCAACAGCUUCAGAGCAUAAGAUCUCACUUGACUCCAAAGAAUCUUUGGUUGGUUCCCAGCUUGAAGACCAGUCAGGACAGCAUCAAACUGAGUCCAGUACAAAGUACCUGUCAGAGAUUUUGUCAGGCUCUCAGUUGUCCAGGUUGCACAAGUUUCAGUCGGAGGACUCUGGAGUGGAGUUUUCGAGUGGCGCAAACUCUCCAUCCACUCCGACAGGCUCCGAGCAGAACUUUGUUGUUCACAGUCGUGAGUCCUCCUGUGACUCAUCAAAUUUAAUCCCAACCACGCUGACCCACUCUGAAAAGAAUGGACAGACAUCUGCCAUUCCACCGCCAGAGGUUACCAGUAUAAAAGUGGAAGAUAUGCUGACACCUUCUCGUCAACUCAGCUCCUCAUCCGUGAAAACAGGCGUGAAAAUUGCUGUGGAUCAGUGCUAUGUGUCACAAAUGAACCUGGAGGACAUGAACAAGCUGAAGGUGGACACCGAGAACUUCAAGUUUGUAAAACAAACAUUAACGGACACCAAUAAUAACAAGGCUGACAAAGAGUCUUUAAAGGGGAGUCUGGACAAGUACAUGGAUGAAUGUUGCAGACUCAGCCAGGUCCAACAGUCAGUCUCCAAUCCUUUGGGGUCAGGACUUGGUUACUUGGAGCACAUCUGUCAGCUCAUUGAGAAAAUCAGCCAUCUGCAAGAGACCAACCUUCGACUUCAGAGGCAGAUCUGUCGCUUGCAAAAGGACAGCAGCAUGACAAAGACGAAAGAGGACUUCUUCCAACAUCACUGCAGCUGUGGUGCAGCAGGUUUUGCGUUUCCGAACAUGAAUGAAGUUUUGUCACCCGGCGGAACAAUCUCUGAUCUCUCAACCAUUCCCGAGGCCACACGGCAUCAACUUCUUUCAACCACGAGAGACAUGAGCAGUUUAAAACAUAAACCUUUGUGGCAAAGAAGUGAUGAUUACCACAAUGACACCACCAAAGGGUUUUUCUAUCAGCCGCUGAGUGAUUCCCACACAUUGGGCAGAGUCAAAGACUUGGUGAAGAGAACCCAGUUGAGAAACCAGAGCAGACUGGGACUGUCCACCUCCUCUCUGAAGAUGUCCUGUCCACAACUGUACAGGCCUGAUUUUGGAGGAGAAAAAAUUGCUGGCAGAAACAGGAACUCCAUGGUUGUGUUGGGACACCACAACACGUGGGACAUUCCUUGGCUACAAUAAAUAUGCAGGUUGUGUCCAUUGCUUUCAUCUCUGCUCACCACUGUCGUAUGUUUUAAACUUGUAGAAGUUGCAUCAUCAGUCCAAAUUUCUGCAGCGUUGACUAAAUCAGUGUUUUUGAGCCAAGGGACAUUUUUUUCAUUGAAAAAAAUGUGGAGGCACACAGCCAGCAGAAAUCAUUAAAAAAUUAAACUCAGCAGCCGAUAUUGACAAUAAAAAGUUGUUGUUGCAAUUGUUGGAUAUGACUUUAAUCCAUAACCAAGCAUGCAUCACUAUAGCUCUUGUCUCAAAGUAGGUGUACUGUCGCGACCUUUCACAUCACGCCUUGACUUAUUUGGAGUUUUUUUGCUUUUUUCCUGUGCGUAGUGUUUUAGUUCUUGUCUUGCGUUUCUAUUUUGGUGGCUUUUUCUCUUUAUUUGGUAUUUUCCUGUUGUUGUGAUCCGCUUCCCGGAUCAAAUCCUUCGUCUGUUUUUUUUGGUUUUUUGAUUGUUUGGACUCUUCCGGUGCUGAGUUUGUGUGUGCACUUCCUUGUUUAUCUUGUCUCCAUGGUUUCUGAUUCGUCCCACCUGCUCUUGUUUCUACGCACACCUGUUGGUAAUUGUUUUCGCAAGUAUUUAAACCUGUCUGCUAUCUCAGUUUAUGCCUGAUAGUUUGUUUGCGGUAAGCAACUGUCACGUUAGUAUUUCCUAAAUCUCUUGUACCUUUGCUAAGUUUCGCCUUAGCUUCACGUGCACUCGACACGCGCUUCUUGGACUUUUUAGACUGCAUGCUAAGUUUAGCAUUAGCUUCCCGAGCAUUGGCACGCGCUUUAUUUUGUCAGUUUUUGUACCAGUGUUUUUACUUUUUUUAUAAAACCAAGUUCCUAUCUGCAAUUCCUGCCUGUCCUGGUCCAUUUGCAUCUUGGGGUGACACCUCGAGCAUCACAACGCGUUCAAAACGUAACAGAAACCAUCCAGCAUCUCGUCACCUCGCAUGGGACCACCUGUUGUCUUCGCCUUGCCAAGCUGCGUCACAUCCGAGGACUCCUUCCGCGGGCAGCUGCUCGCUGACCACAGCCCAGAACUCUUCCCUGAGGUUUGGUAGUCAGUUUCUUUCUACUAUUACUAAACACUCUUCUGACAGCGCUGUGAGGCCAGAGCAAACCUACGGCUCUCCUGUCAAUCACGGUGACGUCACUCUGUUAACGCCCACCAAUGACGUCACCGAAGAUUUUUUUUUUUUUAUUCCUUUUCUCAGCCAUUUUUUGAGGAUAGCAGUUAUGAGGAAUUUUUUUCUAUUUAAUUUCCUCACUUAUCCACUAAGGACUUGCACGCUUUGAUAAAGCUUUACAAGGACAAUAUUAGUAAUCAUAAGCCUAGUCAUUACCAGUCACCUCCCUGUGUUGACGUCGCCCCGCCCACUUGGGAUGAUGUCACACCCCAAGGAUUUUUGUUAGAUGCAGUCAAUUCCCCAUGCAAGCCGCCCACACAAACAGCUAAUUCGGUAGUUAAUCCUCAUGAUAUUUUUUUUUCUAAAUUUAAAGCUCGUUUGCCAAGUUCCCCCCCAGUGACUUUUUCUCCCACCCAGUCUACCCCCCUCCUGACCUCCCACCUCCCACCUUUAAGUUCAGUCUCUGACCACGGGGAGCGCGUCCGGGAUCUGCCUUUUUUGGGGGGGGGGCUAGUGAUUGUAGCCACUAAUCCGCAACGGCCUACUAGACCUCUUCCAUCGGUGUUCCGGCCUGUUAAGCCUAAACCACCUAUUAGACCUCCACCACCGGUCUUUCAACCCACUAAGCCGCUACUCCCUGCGCGGCCUCCUCCACCAGUGUUCCGUCAUGUUAAACCGCAACCUCCAGCUAGACCACCUCCACCAUGGCUAGCUGCACCACGGGUUUCACCUGAUAGUCAUUGUCAUAGUCCUUGCCCAAGUCCAAGUCUUAGUUCAAGUCCUAGUCCUUGUCUUAGCCCUAGUCCCAGUUCUAGUCUUAGUCCAAGUCCAAGUUCAAUUCCUAGUCCUAGUAUGAGUCCUAACCCUAGCCCUAGUCGUAGUCUGUGUUGUAGUCUGACUCCUAGUCACAGUCCCAGUCGUAGUCCUAGUCGUAGUCACAGCCCAAGUCAUAGUCGUAGUCCUAGUCUGGAUCACACUCCAGUACUUGUCCCUCGGCUGGUACCAGUGCCUGCUCCUCGGCUGGUAGCAGCACCUGUCCCUUGGCUGGUACCAGUGCCUGCUCCUCGGCCGGCAUCAGCAACUGCUCCUCGGCCGGCAUCAGCACCUGCUGCUCGACCGGCAUCAGCACCAGGAAAUAACUUUUUCCAUUCAUCGAUUUUCUACCAUUUGCCAAGGGCCUAUCCCAGCUGCACUCGGGCGGAAGGCAUGGUACACCAUGGACAAGUCACCACCUCAACGCAGGGCCAACACAGAUAAACAACAUUCACACUCACAUUCACACACUAGGGCUAAUUUGGUGUUGCGAAUUAGAACAUCCCAAGGUGCAUAUCUUUGGAGGUGGAAAAAGCCAGAGUACCCGAAGAGAAUCUACAGGACACAGAGCUUUUUACAGCAUUUGGGUGACGACUUGUCCAGGGUGUACUCUGCCUUCUGCCCGAGUGCAGAUGGCAUAGGCUCCAGCUCCACCACAGUCCCAAGAAGGACAAGUGGUAAAAAAGUGAAUGGAUGGAUGGAAGUAAAACCAUAUAACUUUUCUUUCUACUUUUACAUCUAAAUAGGUUGACUUGUGUCUUUUUGUACGUCUUAAUAUUGUGUGGGUCCAAUAAUUGAUCGUUUGUGAACUAUUUAUCCUGUACAUUGGCAAUUGUCAGGCAUAAAUUGACCAGUAGUAGUUAUUAUUGUUUGUGGACACGAAGUACCGAGGUAGCACAGCUGGUAGCACAGCUGCGACCCACUAAUCCGCAACGGCCUACUAGACCUCUUCCAUCGGUGUUCCGGCCUGUUAAGCCUAAACCACCUAUUAGACCUCCACCACCGGUCUUUCGACCCACUAAGCCGCUACCCCCUGCCCGGCCUCCUCCACCGGUGUUCCGUCAUGUUAAACCGCAACCUCCAGCUAGACCACCUCCACCAUGGCUAGCUGCACCACGGGUUUCACCUGAUAGUCAUUGUCAUAGUCCUUGCCCAAGUCCAAGUCUUAGUUCAAGUCCUAGUCCUUGUCUUAGCCCUAGUCCCAGUUCUAGUCUUAGUCCAAGUCCAAGUUCAAUUCCUAGUCCUAGUAUGAGUCCUAAUCCUAGCCGUAGUCGUAGUCUGUGUUGUAGUCUGACUCCUAGUCACAGUCCCAGUCGUAGUCAUAGUCGUAGUCCUAGUCUGGAUCACACUCCAGUACUUGUCCCUCGGCUGGUACCAGUGCCUGGUCCUCGGCUUGUAGCAGCACCUGUCCCUUGGCUGGUACCAGUGCCUGCUCCUCGGCCGGCAUCAGCACCUGCUCCUCGACCGGCAUCAGCACCUGCUCCUCGACCGGCAUCAGCACCUGCUGCUCGACCGGCAUCAGCACCAGGAAAUAACUUUUUCCAUUCAUCGAUUUUCUACUAUUUGCCAAGGGCCUAUCCCAGCUGCACUCGGGCGGAAGGCAUGGUAUACCAUGGACAAGUCACCACCUCAACACAGGGCCAACACAGAUAAACAACAUUCACACUCACAUUCACACACUAGGGCUAAUUUGGUGUUGCGAAUUAGAACAUCCCAAGGUGCAUAUCUUUGGAGGUGGAAAAAGCCAGAGUACCCGAAGAGAAUCUACAGGACACAGAGCUUUUUACAGCAUUUGGGUGACGACUUGUCCAGGGUGUACUCUGCCUUCUGCCCGAGUGCAGAUGUCAUAGGCUCCAGCUCCACCACAGUCCCAAGAAGGACAAGUGGUAAAAAAGUGAAUGGAUGGGUGGAAGUAAAACCAUAUAACUUUUCUUUCUACUUUUACAUCUAAAUAGGUUGACUUGUGUCUUUUUGUACGUCUUAAUAUUGUGUGGGUCCAAUAAUUGAUCGUUUGUGAACUAUUUAUCCUGUACAUUGGCAAUUGUCAGGCAUAAAUUGACCAGUAGUAGUUAUUAUUGUUUGUGGACACGAAGUACCGAAUUUUUCGGACUAUAAGUCGCAGUUUUUUUGAUAGAUCAGCCGGGGGUGCGACUUAUAUUCAGGAGCAACUUAUGUGUGAAAUUACUAACACAUUGCCGUAAAAUAUCAAAUAAUAUUAUUUAGCUCAUUCAAAUAAGAGACUAGACGUAUAAUAUUUCAUGGGAUUUAGCGAUUAGGAGUGACAGAUUGUUUGGUAAACGUAUAGCAGGUUCUAUAUGUUAUAGUUAUUUGAAUGACUCUUACUAUAAUAUGUUAGGUUAAAAUACCAGGCACCUUCUCAGUUGAUUAUUUAUGCCUCAUAUAACGUACACUUAUUCAGCCUGUUGUUCACUAUUCUUUAUUUAUUUUAAAUUGACUUUCAAAUGUCUAUUCUUGGUGUUGGAUUUUAUAAAAUAAAUUUCCCCCUUCUUUAUUAUGCAUUUACAGCAAGUGCGACUUAUACUCUGGAGCGACUUAUACUCCGAAAAAUACGGUACAUUUUUAAGUGGAGCUCCUUCUUCUUUUUGUUGCCGCUUGUUACACUUGGAGACCAGCUAUCAGAAUGAAUCUCACCAUCUUCUGUAGAUCAUCCACCCGGCAGUACAGUUUUUUCUCCAGGUGUGUUGGGUCUGGCCACAUUUCCUUCCUUAGCGCUUGGAGAUUCCUGCAGUCCUGUAGAAUGUGGGCCAUGUCCUGUUCCUCUUCUCCACAUGGAUAUAUCGUAGAGGGCAUGACUUUGAUCUUUCUGUUGAGGUGUUAGUUAAGUCUGUUGUGCCCUGUACGAAACCUGAGUAUGACCACCUGGUCGGGUCGUGGCAACUGAUGGUAUGAGUCUGCUUUUUGUGAUAGUUUAAACAGAGCUUUUAUGAUGAUUUUUAUCCGUCAAGCUGACUAGGUUGUUUUCUUGGUCUUGAUUGGCUCCCCCUUUUCAAUUUGUCUGUGUUUUUGUUUCCUAUACCAUAAUGGGGGGGAUCCAUUGUAGGACUGUCUGUAGGGUGUUUUACAGAGACUUUUCAAGGUCUGUUAAUUUUCUGGAAAUUAUAGGCUCCUAAGACAGAGAAUGCGUCUUGGGUGUUGUUGUCCACUCCACUGCUGAUGGUGUUUGCUGCUGUAUCAGUGCUUCAACUUCUGCUUAUAGUUGGUGCAAAGCAGGCUUGCUGGUUCUGCUUCUGCUUGCUUUUCUCCAUGAGGAAUUGGAUGUGGACCCCAGCAUCGCUACACUUGACAGCAUCAGUGGCUGAUCCAUCGGUGUAUGCUUGGAUCCAGCUGUUUUGAAGGUAUCUUUCCUCAAGCAUGGCUUAGGUUAAAGAUCUUUUCACAACGUCACUUUGAAUAUCUUUCAUUGUACACAUUUAGUUACAUCAUCAUUUCAUUGGGAGACGGAGCUGUUGACUGUGAUGGUGGUUCUUCGUUCUUCCCUUGGAGGAGCGUCAAAGGGCGAAGAAAACAGUUUCAACAUGAUCCAGAUGGCGCCACACAGAAGAAGAAAGAAACACUGACAGUGAUUCUAGACGAGGACAAAAAGAGGAAAAAUAAAAAUAAAAAAGACAAGAAACUCGAAGGCAAAAAGCUACCAGAAAUUGAAUUCUGAUACGUAAAAAAAAAGGAAUGUCUGUUGAAUUUAUGGUAACAUUACAUUACAUUAUUUUACUAUACGAGUAAUUUUGCAUUGUAAAAGAAUCUAUCUAAUGUGCAAUAUAAAUAUUCUUACUGUAAGUAAUGUAAACAUGAUCAAUAUAAUUAUCUGUAACAUGUUGGAGUGCAUGCAGAUGACGUAACAUAACAAGUAAUGCAACAAACAUGACAUUUCACCUAAACAAAUAAAAGCCUUCCUGCUGCAUCCUCGUAUGAAUCUACUUCAGCUAUUGAGCUCACCUAUCAAAAUGAUUUUAACAGAAGACAGAAAAAAAAUAUUACCUAAAUUAUGCAACAAUUAAAAUAUUUAUGUGCGAGUUCAAAGUGAAAUAAGCCGUUACUUGUGCAUUUACUUGACUAUAAUGACAACAAAACUCUCCAAUGUUUAGUAUUAUGAAUCUCAGUCUAAAAGAAUUGUUCAAAGUGUGCAUGGUGUUCGUUGCUGUGGUGGAAUCCAGGUUAUAACUGCCAUGCUUUUAUUUUGAAGCAUGAGUUCAUUCACUGAACAGGAAAUGUGUGUUUUCAUGUUGUUAUGACGUUGUUGUGGUUUCCAAAAAUGAAAACCGAAGCAACUUUUUUACGAGUUCUUUCUGAAUUCAAUCGGGCUUCUCACCUUCUUUAUCCAAGCUGGUACUCACAACUUACAGCCAAUAAAUUAGGCCAGGGGAUGGCAGGAUGAAAUAUUCGUGGAUAAGAAAAGUUAGAGUGAAGCUCAAAAAAAAAAAAAAAAAUAAAUAAAAAAGCGACGGCGGCAGUGUGAGCGUUUCAGAUGUAAUUAGACACAUUUAAUAGAAUAAUUUUGGAAGAUCCCUUAUCUGCUUAUUGUUUUAAUAGUGUUUUAGUGAGAUUGUAACGACAUAUCUGAAAGUCGGAUGGCUGCGGUGAACGCCAGUGUCUCUCAGAGAAGCCUUUGGAGGAGCCAAGAUCACAGCUGCCUUUUUGACAGCUGCAGGAGGAAGUCCCAUAAACUGACUUAAUAUCACAAUUUUCCCAUCCAAAAACUUGCUGGUUGACAUAGAAAACAUGUUCGCUUGACCGCUCUGUGUUAAAGCUUCCCAACAAACAAAGAAACACCGGCUGUGUCUCGGUUGCUAUAGGCGGCUGUAAUCCACCGCUUUCCACCAACAGCAUUCUUAUUUGACGUCUCCCUGAUUAAUUGAACAAAUUGCAAAAGAUUCAGCAACACAGAUGUCCAAAUUACUGUGUAAUUAUGCGAUGAAAAGAGACGACUUAGCCGUGUGUGGUGCUGGGCUAAUAUGUCCCCUCCAACCCGAGACGUCACGCGCACGCGUCAUUAAAAGCGUCAUCAUUCCGCAACGUUUUCAACAAGAAACUACGCGGGAAUUUUAAAAUUGCAAUUUAGUAAACUAAACCGGCCGUAUUGGCAUGUGUUGCAAUGUUAAUAUUUCAUCAUUGCUAUAUAAACUAUCAGACUGCGUGGUCGGUAGUAGUGGGUUUCAGUAGGCCUUUAAAUUUCCAUAUUAAGGUCAGGGCCGCGUGUCUGAGACCCCUGGUUAAUACAUUGCACAAAGCAAAAAAAAACUUAGUACGCUGAGUUAUUUCAUUUUAAAUUUCAAAAGAGACUUGUGGCACCCAUUGUUUUCUUUCUGUUGUGAAUCGGGUCAAAAUGGCUCUUUGAGUGGUAAAGGUUGCCGACCCCUGCUGUAGAUGAUGGUACAUAUGUACAAAAUAAACCACAUAAUGUUAGUACAUCAAUCGAGGAAAAUUAUCAAACUACUAUUUGAUUUUGAUAUUUUUUCAUCUUGAUUGAUUGAAAAUGAACACCAUUGAGUUUACUAAUGAACAUAAUCACAUAAUUCAUUUAAAAUAUAUAAAUAACGACAAAUAAAGAUAGAAUACUAUUAACCGCAACAUGUAAGUGUAAAAAAACCAACAACAUUAUGAUUUGUACAUUUUCAGAAUGUGCUUCUUCUAUUUUCAAAAACAGUAAACAAUCUGAAGGUGUCUUUAUUUUUAAGUUAUCGUGCAGGGAUUUUUACCAGUCCAGCCCACUUGGGAGUAGAUUUUUCUCCAUGUGGCCCCCGAUCUAAAAUUGACACCCCUGUAUUAGGCACACCCCAACACAUUUAAUCAGCGCAUCAUAAAGAAAAUUGUCGUUUUGUAAUAAACUAUAUUUUAUUAGAAAACAUAGUACAUGUAUGAUAUUUGUAUUGUCUUUAAAGUCAAAACAAAUGUUUAUGAUUCACAACAUGUGAGGUUAUACUUUCACAUGUUGUGUGUCUUAAAGUACCAGUAAAACAGAAAAAUACAUUCUAUUUAUAUGCUGAAUUGUGUUUAUUUUAUCCGUUAAAUGAUAUCCAAUCAUGUUUGUAAUCCGAAGUAUGCUAAAAUAUUGUUCAAACAUCCACAAAAUGCCACAAUUUUGGCCAUUUUUAAUAUUUCGCACCAAACGACUGCAGCAAUUUCAAUUGGUUCAGAUCUGAUGAUGUCACGGGUUAAACUCCUCUGCAGUAUGGCUGAUAUAUCAGCAGAUCCGUCAUUCUGGAAACACGCAAAAAUGCAAAAGAGGUGUGCUUUUUAUCGCUCAAAUUUAAAGGCCUACUGAAACCCACUACUACCGACUGUUGGAUGUGGUUGUCUUUUUAUUUCCUAGUCAGAUUUUAGAACAGCUAAAGUGUAGCCUUUUACAUAGACCUUGAAUUUGGAAUGUGUGAAUGAAGACAUAACAAUCUGUUAUCUCAACUGUCCAAGGUAGGGAGGAGAAGAAGAGGGGCGGGUGAGAGUCAGUGAGGAGGGAGAAACUGCCAUUUUAGGAUUAGAUCAAUUUGGACCGAGCUUUGAAAUGUUGUAUCUAGAUUGAUCUCCCAAGGCGCUUUGGUUAUAAAAUAUCAAAAUGAGUAACCUCUGUCUCUGAUUGAUUUAAAACCAGCUUUUGUGUCGUCAAACAAUCUGGGGGCGUUGACCAAAGAAAGAACGGGUCAAAACGCAACAAUUUGAGGGCUCGUCCGGGGAUGACACGCUGAAAAUUGGACUGCCCUUGCAAACUUACGGACAGACUCACUUGGCCAACAUCAAGGUAAGCAGUGCCUUUUUCUAAAAUCUGCAUUAGGAGUCUGUCCAAAAGUCUUGUAAGUCAAACACUGUUAUAUACCACAGAGACGGGGUGCUGAUUUUGAUAGGUUGGUUGCAUUAUUGCCUUGUCCGCCAUUACAUAAUAGUUGAAAAUAAGUGGUCAACUCAAGGCAUUGUGUCUAGAUUACCGUGACGGGCUGCUUCACUGACGAGUAGGCAAAUAGUCGGGUGUGGCUCGCCUUGGGGAAUUGGUCUCCCCUAAAAGAGUAACGGGACGGAUAACCGUUGUGUGGAUAGUAAAUAUGUGAGAUCCAAGUGACAUUAACGUGUGCACGGAAAAUACGGACCGUAAGGGUGGAGGCCCUUCUAUGCCACAUGACAAAUUCCGAGGUUGGAGGCCAUUUGUAAAGAGUACAAUAAAGUUCCCGGUUGAGAGAUCCCUGCGGCACUAAGGUGUGCGUUAAAACUAAGGAAAAAGACACAUUGGCAAAGGAGUGUGACAGAGAGGAACGUAAUGGUGGCUGGGAAAAUGUGAUCAAUCGUUACCGCUUAAUGAAAAAUUGAAUGUACAGUUGUCGACAAUAAAAAAAAAAAUAAAAAAAAAAGAAGACGAAAAAAGAGAGAAAAUAAAAAAGACAACGUUUAUUGAAAGGG